rnacentral:rRNA from 6 species
CUAUAAAUCCAGUCGAUCCUGCUGGAGAGUAUUGCUAUUGGAGUCCGAUUAAGCCAUGCAAGUCAAAUGCUACGCAAGUAGUAUCGGCGACCAGCUCAGUAAAACAUAGAUAACCUGCCCAUAAAUACGGAAUAACAUCGGAAAACUGAUGAUAAUGCCGCAUAGAUGUGAUGUUCUGGAAUGACUCACAUUGAAAGCGUAAGCGUUUGUGGAUGGAUCUAUGGCGGAUUAGGCAGAUGGCGGUGUAACAGACCACCAUACCUAUGAUCCGUACCCGCCAUGGGAGUGGAAGCGGGGAGAUGGAUACUGAGACAAGGAUCCAGGCCCCACGGGGCGCAGCAGGCGCGAAACCUUCCCAAUGCGCGAAAGCGUGAGGAGGGGACUCCAAGUUCCUCCAUUAGGAGGAUUUUGUAGUGUGUAAGAAACACUGCGAAUAAGGGCCGGGCAAUGCCAGUGCCAGCCGCCGCGGUAAUACUGGAGGCCCGAGUGAUACUCACUAUUAUUGGGCUUAAAGCGUUCGUAGCCGGUUUCUUAAGUCUUUUGUGAAAUCCUGCUGCUUAACAGUAGGACGGGCAAGAGAUACUGAGAGGCUAGAGGAUGGGAGAGGUUGGAGGUAUUUCUGGGGUAGGGGCGAAAUCCUAUAAUCCUAGAAGGACCAUCUGGGCGAAGGCGUCCAACUAGAACAUGCCUGACGGUGAGGAACGAAAGCUAGGGGAGCAAAACAGAUUAGAUACCUGUGUAGUCCUAGCCGUAAACUAUGUGGACUGUGUAUUGCGGGUGCUUAGGGCUCCCGCAGUGCUGAAGGAAAACCGUUAAGUCCACCGUCUGGGGAGUACGGUCGCAAGGCUGAAACUUAAAGGAAUUGGCGGAGGAGCACCACAAGGGGUGGAGUCUGCGGUUUAAUUGGAUACAACGCCAGACAACUCACCAGGGGCGACGGCAGAAUGACAGUCAGAUUUAAGAUCUUGCUUGACGAGCCGAGAGGUAGUGCAUGGCCACCGUCAGCUCGUACCGUAAGGCGUACCCUUAAGUGGGUUAACGAGCGAGACCCAUACUUUCAUUUGCUACCGUCCAUCUUUGAACGGGCACUAUGAAGGGACCGCUGGCGACGAGUCAGAGGAAGGAAUGGGCGAUGAUAGGUCAGUAUGCUCCGAAUCCCUUGGGCUACACGUGGACUACAAUGAUAUGAACAAUGGGCUGCAACUCCGAAAGGAGGAGCCAAUCCCCCAAAUCAUACCUUAGUUCGGAUUGAUGGUUGUAACUCACCCUCAUGAAGAUGAAAUCCCUAGUAACCGUAAGUUAACAUCUUGCGGUGAAUAUGUCCCCGCUCCUUGCACACACCGCCCGUCAAGCCAAGCGAGUGGGCGUAAUGUGAGGCGCUAUCAUAAGGUAGUGUCGAACAUCAUGUUCGCAAGAAGGGCUAAGUCGUAACAAGGUAGCCGUAGGGGAAUCUGCGGCUGAAUCACCUCCA